UGAGGAAUAUUGGUCAAUGGGCGAGAGCCUGAACCAGCCAAGUAGCGUGCAGGAUGACGGCCCUAUGGGUUGUAAACUGCUUUUAUAUGGGAAUAAAGUGAGGGACGUGUCCCUUAUUGCAUGUACCAUACGAAUAAGGACCGGCUAAUUCCGUGCCAGCAGCCGCGGUAAUACGGAAGGUCCAGGCGUUAUCCGGAUUUAUUGGGUUUAAAGGGAGCGUAGGCUGUUUGUUAAGCGUGUUGUGAAAUGUAAGAGCGCAACUUUUAGAUUGCAGCGCGAACUGGCAGACUUGAGUGCGCACAACGUAGGCGGAAUUCAUGGUGUAGCGGUGAAAUGCUUAGAUAUCAUGACGAACUCCGAUUGCGAAGGCAGCUUACGGGAGCGCAACUGACGCUAAAGCUCGAAGGUGCGGGUAUCGAACAGG
rnacentral:rRNA from 1 species